GAUGUUCUGAAUGAAUGCAAUUAAAAAACUAAGGCAGCUUCACACUAGGGGUGCCUAGCAGGGAUGCAGAACUAUAGAUGUACUCAAUGAAUUCGGAGCCCUCAGACGAACACACUGAAGCGCACAAUGAAGGAGAUCCCAGCAGCUUUUGCGGUUUGGCUGCUAUGUGCGACUAUGGCACAAGGUCGGUAUUACUUUGACACAGAUGUCAAUGAUUAUGUUGACGCGUCACUGGGGAAGCUCGCAAAAACUAUCGAAGAGAAGACAACAAAAAAUUCCGUCAUAAUUAAAGAUUUUGUGCGACCUUCCAAUGACUCAGGCCGUACAAUCGUUGUACCACAAAUUUCUCUUGGGGUCGUGAGAGGACUACAUACUCUGCAAAGAGCCCGGGACUGCAAGAUUACGGAGAAAACCAUGCGCUACAAUGUACGAUGCCCUGUUAAGUUUCUGGAUCUUGAGUGUGUGCUUCCAAGACUGAACAAGAUAAAAUAUACCUUAAAAGUGGAAGUGGACGGAAUACUCUCCUUCAGUCUUUACAAGGGUCCUGAAGGGAAUGUCCAACGAAUAUUACUAAUUAUAAAAAAAUUUACAUUUUCACUCGACCAAGAGCUCUAUUCUCCAAACGGGGAUGCCGUCGCCACGUUUCCAACAGUGCCUAGUGCUUACGAUCUUGAUGGGACAAAUAUUGGAGGACCGUACAGCGAAGCCUUGCGGUACUAUUUAACACAAAAAUUAUUAAUUACUUCUGUAAAGAAAGCCCUCACUGAAACAUUUCCCAGAAUUAAGAACAAAAUUAAAUGAGUACGCCGCCGGGGCAAUACUGUACAUGAAUGUCUUAUUAUAAAUACUUGCCACGGAAAUUUUUGUGACGACGGCCGACCGAAUAAACUUCGUAGAACUGAAAGACGACUCCUGCGCGAUUCAACACUUGCGUCGCCGAAAAAAAUGGACAAAACUUGUAGAAUUGUUCAAAGAACGAGGAAGUGUUACUGAUAGUUGCCGUGUUGUUGGACCAUAAAUCAAUAUGCAUAAACAGCCAGGGCGGUCAUUCGUGAUAUUUAGAGCGAGAGCUAAAAACAUCAAAAAGCGUAAAGUGUCAGAAUCCAGCAGUAAUAAGUUAACACGCAGAAGUAAACGCCUUCACGAAGUGUUCUCACAAGAUUUGGCUAUAGCUUGGGCAAAAAAUCACAGGGUCAUUCAGCCUGUAAACAUGCUCGAUGAUUGGAAG